UCCCUUUUUUAGGUCACCGUAGAGUUUUCUUAUUGCUACAAAUCAGCAGGUGAUCCUAGAAACAUGACCGAAAUUAUGUGGUGCUUUGUCAUGGUCCUCCUGGAUUUUCUGCAGGGAAAAAGCCCACACGUACACGUCGUCGAGUUAAGGCGACGUCUCCUCCGAUGCGAAAGAAUCAAGCCAUUCGGGAUUAGGAAUGCAUCUCUGGCAGCUGGCAUCCAGGAAGGCAUAUUAAAAAGAGGGACAUUCAGAGCGCUUCAACGCUGGGACCGAAGCAUCUUGGCGAAAUUGGCAGUAGGGUCUACCUGGCUCAUCCCAACAUGCGCCAUCGCACUCCUUCUUGCUCUCGUGGGCACCAUCUCGAUGAGAUUCUGGCAUUCAUUCAGUAGAAAAUACCAUGCGUCGUCAUCUAUGUUACGCCUCCACCCACAAAGAACCAACUCCGUUGCUGCGCCUCCUGUAUGAAAAAUCAUUCCUCGUAGUGAAACGACAUGUAAUCGCCAUCGAGUUGUCCGCACCAGCAUGGUUACGAAAACUUCCACAACGAGAGAUUGCUACGCCACACGUGGAGAUGAUUUGCUCUUGGAAACAGCUUAUUCAAAUAUUUUAUCUAACUAUUGUAUCCUGA